rnacentral:rRNA from 1 species
GAUGAACGCUAGCUACAGGCUUAACACAUGCAAGUCGAGGGGUAACGAGAGGAAAGCUUGCUUUCCUUGUCGACGACCGGCGCACGGGUGAGUAACGCGUAUCCAACCUGCCCCCAACUAAGGAAUAACCUUGCGAAAGUAAGACUAAUACCUUAUAAUUUCCUCAGAUGUCAUCUGACGAGGAAUAAAGAUUUAUCGGUUGUGGAUGGGGAUGCGUCUGAUUAGCUUGUUGGCGGGGUAACGGCCCACCAAGGCAACGAUCAGUAGGGGUUCUGAGACGAAGGUCCCCCACAUGGGGACUGGGACACGGUCCAAACUCCUACGGGAGGCAGCAGUGAGGAAUAUUGGUCAAUGGGCGAAAGCCUGAACCAGCCAAGUAGCGUGCAGGAUGACGGCCCUAUGGGUUGUAAACUGCUUUUAUACAGGAAUAAAGUUAGCCACGUGUGGUUAUUUGUAGGUACUGUAUGAAUAAGGACCGGCUAAUUCCGUGCCAGCCGCCGCAGUAA